GCCGGUACUCCCCAGGCCGGUNAACUUCACGCGAUUAGCUACGAUUACUGAGAAGAAACCCUCCCAACAACCAGUUGACAUCGUUUAGGGCGUGGACUACCAGGGUAUCUAAUCCUGUUUGCUCCCCACGCUUUCGUGCAUGAGCGUCAGUACAGGUCCAGGGAGCUGCCUUCGCCAUCGGNGUUCCUCCGCAUAUCUACGCAUUUCACUGCUACACGCGGAAUUCCACUCCCCUCUACCGUACUCUAGCCUUGCAGUCACAAAUGCAGUUCCCAGGUUGAGCCCGGGGAUUUCACAUCUGUCUUGCAAAGCCGCCUGCGCACGCUUUACGCCCAGUAAUUCCGAUUAACGCUUGCACCCUACGUAUUACCGCGGGUGCUGGNACGUAGUUAGCCGGUGCUUAUUCUUCAAGUACCGUCCAUGACGCCGGGGUAUNAGCCCAGCGCUUUUCUUCCCU
rnacentral:rRNA from 1 species